CAGCAGACCUCGCAAACACGUCUAGGGAUCCAGGCGAUGUUUUCCUUAAUGGUGGAGUUUGUUUAUGUUAUUCGUCAAAGAGAGAAAUUUGAUACGAAGGCGGAGCUUACUCUCCGUAUCAACGAGUAGUG